UGUAUUUUGGGAUCUCUACUGUGCAGCUCCAGAGAGACGUGAAACAUGUGAACACUCAAGUGAAGCAAAAGCCUUCCAUGAUUACAGUGCUGCAGCAGCUCCCAGUCCAGUGCUAGGAAACAUUCCCCCAGGAGAUGGCAUGCCAGUAGGUCCUGUACCACCAGGGUUCUUUCAGCCUUUUAUGUCACCUCGGUACCCUGGAGGUCCAAGGCCCCCAUUGAGGAUACCUAAUCAGGCACUUGGAGGUGUCCCAGGAAGUCAGCCAUUACUCCCCAGUGGAAUGGAUCCAACUCGACAACAAGGACAUCCAAAUAUGGGUGGGCCAAUGCAGAGAAUGACUCCUCCAAGAGGAAUGGUGCCCUUAGGACCACAGAACUAUGGAGGUGCAAUGAGACCCCCACUGAAUGCUUUAGGUGGCCCUGGAAUGCCUGGAAUGAACAUGGGUCCAGGUGGUGGUAGACCUUGGCCAAACCCAACAAAUGCCAAUUCAAUACCAUACUCCUCAGCAUCUCCUGGGAAUUAUGUAGGUCCUCCAGGAGGUGGAGGGCCACCAGGAACACCCAUCAUGCCUAGUCCAGCAGAUUCAACCAACUCUGGCGAUAACAUGUAUACUUUAAUGAAUGCAGUACCUCCUGGACCUAACAGACCUAAUGU
rnacentral:sRNA from 1 species